rnacentral:rRNA from 1 species
GGCGGACGGGUGAGUAACGCGUGAGCAAUCUGCCCUUCGGAGGGGGACAACAGCUGGAAACGGCUGCUAAUACCGCAUAACGUAUAUUGACGGCAUCGUUGAUAUACCAAAGAUUUAUCGCCGAAGGAUGAGCUCGCGUCUGAUUAGCUAGUUGGUAGGGUAACGGCCUACCAAGGCUGCGAUCAGUAGCCGGACUGAGAGGCUGAACGGCCACAUUGGGGCUGAGAUACGGCCCAGACUCCUACGGGAGGCAGCAGUGGGGAAUAUUGGGCAAUGGGGGAAACCCUGACCCAGCAACGCCGCGUGAAGGAAGAAGGCUUUCGGGUUGUAAACUUCUUUGACCAGGGACGAAACAAAUGACGGUACCUGGAAAACAAGCCACGGCUAACUACGUGCCAGCAGCCGCGGUAAUACGUAGGUGGCAAGCGUUGUCCGGAUUUACUGGGUGUAAAGGGCGCGUAGGCGGGAUUGCAAGUCAGAUGUGAAAUGCUGGGGCUUAACCCUGGAACUGCAUUUGAAACUGUGAUUC